rnacentral:lncRNA from 1 species
CGAUGUUCUUUGCUGUGUGCAGGAAAGGUUAAUAAACACUGGUGACAUUGGGCAGCUGCUGAGGACUCGCAGCGAGCAGGGACACUUCCCAGAAGGCUACCUGCGCUCGAGCUUGUGCCCGAGACCAGCAUACCUUGAAGGCUUGGUUCUUCCUGUCCCUGCCCUCAGUCUGCUAGCUCCGGAAGAUGCACCAAAGGCACCGGAGGGACACAGAGGACAUGCUAGACCUUCUAAGUCAGGCUGGGCAAUCUCAGCCCUACACCCCUACUGGCACCACAGGAGGAAGGGUGCAGCCUCUCUGCUUUUCCUUAAGGUGAAGAAGCAGGACGAGAUGAUGUCCCCCGCCCCAGACCCACUUCCAGACACCAGCUCCCUAGGAUGGAGCCAUUUGAGAUGGAACCUCGGGGCUAUCUGUGCCGCACUCCCCGUGAGGGACAUCAUGUGAUGGCAGCCACAGGCAACCAUCAGAGUCCACGCCACCACGCUUCCCGUCCAGACAGAAUAAACACAUCCUUGCCUUAGAGACAAAGACUUCCUCCUCUGGGCGGAGCCACCUUCUGCUUCUAGCUGCAGCCGUCAUGUGGGCCCCUGCAGACAACUUGAUGACGUCCUCAGAGCCUUGCUGACCAGAGAAUGAAUCUUCCCUGGAUCUUGCACCAUGAGCAGCCACGUCCUGGGCACAGGUACAGGCCAGGGGCCCUGCUGCCCCUCACGGAUGUCGGUGGCAAGGGAUCAGUUCUGCUGUCCUCAGACAAAGGACUCAACCUGAUGGGGGAGCGGGGACAGGAUCCAUCCCACCACCACACUGCCCCGUGACUUGUAGUCACUCAGUGCAGGAACACUGGCUGUGACCACUCAGAGUGGACCUACCGAGCAACAGGACCUGCCUGACACAGGCCAUUGGGAAGCACAACCAAGGCCUUUAGGCCCUAGAAAUCCAGGGUUCCUAGAUUUUGCAAUUAAAAAUGAAGAUACUCAGAAAAGUUUGGAUUGCAGAAAAUCGGCAGAAAUUAAUUUAACCUACACAGAGCCGGGUAGAAAAGGCAACCACUCAAGAUACUGAACCUCAUUGGGCCAGCCUUGGAGAUCUGCAAAGAUGGAAGAUGUGGUGCUAGUUACCAGUGCUGGACAGCAAGCCACCCCAAACUUAGUGACUCAGAUCAGCCAAUUUACUCCCACACUGGGAACUUGGACAGCGUGAAGUCUGUGCUCCUCUCAGUAGGCUGGGGACACUCAGCUGCUGAGGCUGGUCUCACCUAGAGGUGUCUUCCUCACCUGCCUGCUGGGCUGUUUGUUCAUGCAGCCCUGGUGCACAUGGUCUCCUUGUGUGGCCUGAUCUUCCUGGCGAGGCAGUUUCCGGUCCUGGAACUUCUUAUAUGGUAGCUCCAGGCUCCAAAGCUGAGUGUCCCCAUGUACCCUAGCAAUGUACUCCAGUCUUUUCUGACCCGGCUCAGAGGUGCAUGAUGUGACUUCUGCCACCAUCCACUGGGGACACAGACACAAGUGCACCCGGAUUUAAGGGCAGAGGAACAGACCCAUCUUCUCAAUGGCAGGAGUGUCAGAGAAUCAGUAGGCUUGUUUUGAACCUAAUGGCAAAGAGGAAAGAAGGCAGUGAGUGUGAUUCUGAUGAGGAUGGGG